rnacentral:rRNA from 1 species
AUUGAACGCUGGCGGCAGGCCUAACACAUGCAAGUCGAGCGAGCGGCGGACGGGUGAGUAAUGUCUGGGAAACCGCUUGAUGGAGGGGGAUAACUACUGGAAACGGUAGCUAAUACCGCAUACCAUCAGAUGUGCCCAGAUGGGCUUGGCUAGUAGGGGGGGUGAUGGCUCACCUAGGCGACGAUCCCUAGCUGGUCUGAGAGGAUGACCAGCCAUACUGGAACUGUGACACUGUCAAGACGCCGGUGGGAGGGAGCAGUGGGGAAGAUUGCACAACGGGCGGAAGCCUGGUGCAGCCAUGGCGAGUGUGUGAAGAAGGCCUUCGGGUUGUAAAGCACUUUCAGCGGGGAGACGUUACCCGCAGAAGAAGCACCGGCUAACUCCGUGCCAGCCGCCGCGGUAAUAC